GACGAACGCUGGCGGCGUGCUUAACACAUGCAAGUCGAACGGGAUGAUUUAGAAGCUUGCUUUUAGAGAAUCUAGUGGCAAACGGGUGAGUAACACGUAGACAACCUGCCGACAGGAUGGGGACAACAUUCCGAAAGGAAUGCUAAUACCGAAUGAAGUCAGAGAAGGGCAUCCUUUUCUGAUGAAAGAUGGCCUCUGAAUAUGCUAUCACCUGUCGAUGGGUCUGCGUCUGAUUAGCUGGUUGGUGAGGUAACGGCUCACCAAGGCGACGAUCAGUAGCCGGUCUGAGAGGAUGAACGGCCACAUUGGGACUGAGACACGGCCCAGACUCCUACGGGAGGCAGCAGUGGGGAAUCUUCCGCAAUGGGCGCAAGCCUGACGGAGCAACGCCGCGUGAGUGAAGAAGGUCUUCGGAUCGUAAAGCUCUGUUGAUGGGGACGAAUGUACGGAGUGCGAAUA
rnacentral:rRNA from 1 species